AACAAACGCUGGCGGCGUGCCUAAUACAUGCAAGUCGAACGGGGAAAGCUUUGGGGUGAGUACUAGUGGCGCACGGGUGAGUAACGCGUGGAUAAUCUGCCUUAGAGUGGGGAUAACUAGUCGAAAGAUUAGCUAAUACCGCAUAAGACCACAAGAACUGCGGUUCAAGAGGUCAAAGGAUUUUCGCUCUAAGAUGAGUCCGCGUAAGAUUAGCUAGUUGGUGAGGUAACGGCUCACCAAGGCAACGAUCUUUAACUGGUCUGAGAGGAUGAUCAGUCACACUGGAACUGAGACACGGUCCAGACUCCUACGGGAGGCAGCAGUAGGGAAUAUUGCACAAUGGAGGAAACUCUGAUGCAGCGACGCCGCGUGAGUGAUGAAGGCCUUCGGGUCGUAAAGCUCUGUCGCAGGGGAAUAACACAAUGAAUGUACCCUGUAAGAAAGGAUCGGCUAACUUCGUGCCAGCAGCCGCGGUAAAAC
rnacentral:rRNA from 1 species